rnacentral:lncRNA from 1 species
AAACGCGCUCGCUCUUCGUCAGAUGGCUCUCCUGGGCCGUCGGCGUCUUCCGUGACAAGCCUCAAUUUGGAGGCCCCCACGGACGGAGCCGAGGAGACGCGAUGGUCCCGAUGGCCCCUCGCGCUGAGAGGAGGGCGAUGCCCAGUCCCCAGGGGCACAAGGGGAUAUGGGCAGGGGCAGGGGCUAGCACUGGUGUCCGGGUGGCACGGUGACCGCCGCCGAGCCCACCAAGGCCGGCCGGGCACAGCACCACGGGCAGGCCGCGGGCAGCGAAGGGCAGCGGGGCUGCGGCCGGAGCUCGCCCCCGCCGGCAGCCGGGCUCCGGGCCGCAGCCAGGGGCGGCCCCCGCUGUCGGGACGGGGAAAUGUCACGCGUGGGGAGGGCACGGCCCCCCCCGCCUUCCCUGCCGGCUCUGCCGGCCGCGAUAUCGCCGCUUUAAGCGGCGGGAGGCUCCCGGCGGAGGUGGGGCCGUGCCAUGGCUCUGCCCCGCCAGCAGCCUCCCGGCCCCGCCUCGGCCCGGCCAUGCCGCGGGAGCGGUCGCGGAGGAGCCGGGGCAGGGCCGAGAACGAAGUCAAGUGGAGCCCGCGCAUAAAUCUCUCUGAUUUUGCCUGCAGUGUCUGCGGCCUCUCCUGGGAGGAAAAAAUGGUCUUGUUUUCUGCCUCCAUCAGUCACUUCAGGGGUGUGUUAAUGGACCGCUGGGAUGCUUCUUGGCUCGUUCGAGUCAUCCUGCCGUCUGUCUUGAGUAUAACUAGUCCCUCGGGACGCUUGCCACUGAUGCCGCUUAGGAAAAAAAAAAAAAAGUAUUUGGAAACAAUCCUGCCAGCAUACCAUAUGUUAGAGUUUAGGGUUUCCUUGUUUGGUGACUUGGGGCACCUGUGUGAAAACAUUGCUGCUUUUAAAUUUUCUCUCGUGCUGCUGUUUAUGCUUGUUAUGUCACAAGCUGAUUGCUCGAGAGAUAAUUGUGCUGUCCAGAGUGCAGGAUGCAGUACCUGGGAAGUCUGGUGA